AAUCUAUGGUGUAGGAAAUCUCUCAUUACUCCUUAAAUCGCUCCCGCACUUCGAAGAGUGAUUCACCAUCAGUCUUCCUAAAGCAAGUAAUAUGGUUCCUAAGUUG